UCCUGCCUCUCCAGAUCCCUCUCUCGCCCUAAUCCCCUCUCCUCUCUCUUCCUCUGGAUCUCUCCCUCCUCUCUCUCUCUCUCCACCCACGUUCUUGUUGCCGAAGCUCUACCCACGCACGCCCUCUCUCUCUCUCUCUCUCUCUCUCUCUCUCUCUGAAGCUCGGUUGAGAAAAUUUAUGCUUCGGGUAGAUGCUAAGAAAGGAGCUCCAUAGGAUGGCAACUCUCCUCUUGAGCUUUUCCAGGUCACCCAUUUUCUUGCUUCCAAUUAAUCUAUGUUUUAGUUAUGGUUAUUUUAAAGACAAGCAUGCAUCUGUACAUAUUAUCCUAGAGUUUAUUGCCUGAAUUGGUAAGUAUUUAGAACAUAACACUGCCAGUGGAGAAGCUAUAACAUUAAGGCAGAAAGAAUCGUUAUAAGAUCUAUGCAACGUAGAAUCAAUUAGCACCUGGGGUUUGACUGUGUAAAAGAUACAUAAUAUGGGAAGGCCUGUUUGAGUAAAAACCGACUCAUUUUUAAAUACAAAUGUUGAGGUUGGACAUUCAAACAGACUCUUGUACGCUCUACACAUAAUUUACUGUGAGGUUUGCUAGCCUCCACUUCCAAAUGCAACCUCUAAAUGCAGCCAGAUGUGUCCACCUGCACUUGUGUAAGACAUCUGUACAUCAGGUGGGACCUACUGUUUAGAUCAUUGGCCAAAAAACUCGGGCUGUUUAACUAUCAAUUAGGCCAUACAUGUACAAAAGAGAUGGACAAUAGGCUGUCAAUAAUGUUCAUGUAUAUGCCAGCAGUCAGCCACAUCAUAGUGUCCAUUAGUGCAAGCAUGGCCCCAACCCCACGUGGAUCCACUUGAUCACAUGGUCAUACAUUUGGGUUCCACAAGUGCCACAUGUGGGGGAAAAGCUAAUGUUAAUUAAUUGCUUUCAUUUUGUCUUCUUGAAUAAAGGAAAAGGUCGGAAAUACCAUUUCUUAAGGUUACUGGAAAUAGUCUUUAAGUAGAGCAGUUUGGACCUUUCACUUGGCAUUACGGUCUCUCUUUGGUGUGUUGCAAUUUGUUGCCCAUAGAUCUUUGCAUGUGUUGCUAUCUUACUAUUCUUUCCUUUUUCAGGUCGGCACAUUUGCUAGCAUGUGGGGCUAGCAAACCUCAGUCUACUGUAUGUAUAUAUGUAUUGGAGCUGUCUAUCUAACGUGCACACACACACACACACACACUACAUGAGACCUUGAGCUCAUCUAAAGAAAGCAUUCAUUGAUAUCUUGAGAGCAGCUGAUGCUAUUAUCAGAUAAGACCUUGGGUCACUAGUUCAAUGAGAUUGAUUUGCAAAACCUUCGAGAUCAAUUUUCAAUUUUGUUGAGAGACCAAGAAACAAUGAAUCUCCUGCUUCUAUUCACUUCUCCUGAACCGUGUUCUUGUUUCACAAGCAUUUUUAUGCAAUAGUCCUGAAAAUCAUUACUUGCAACAUAUUAGUAAGGAUCAGAAUGCCCAAUCUGUUUUGGCAUCCAAGGAAGCUUUCAAUGGAUCCUUUUUUUCCUUUUAUGUGCUGUGAGAAUAAUACUAUGUUGUCUCAUUUAUUGAGUAGUUACAGUUGGUGAAAUAAUGUGGUUUGCUCCGUGAAUCUUAUUUGGAAUUUGUUGAACACAUUCAAUGAAUUAACUGUUGCUUACAUUAAUUAAUGGCUUCUUCUUUUCAUACCUUAUGUUGAGAUUUAGCCAUUGAAGAUACAUUUGACUGAAACAUUGUAUAGAAUGAUGUGGGAUUAUUUCUUCCCAGAAAAAAGAAUAAGAUUCACAAAGACGGCAGGUAAGCUUCAUGCUCAGUUCUUCUAAUUGAUAUGGUGUUACUUCUACAUUAUUUUACAAUCUUGAAUACCUUCUGAUUCCUGCAGGAAGUUUGGAAAGUUUCAACUGCCGGGUCGAGACGUCCAAAGAAAAGUGUAACCCCCCCCCCCUCCUCUGCAGCGUCCUCGGUUUCUGCUGGAGUCAGUCAAUCUGCUCAUGGUGAUGCUUUCCAAGUACUUGUGGAUGAGUUUCGCAUACCCAAACGAGAAAAUCGAAAUUCGAUAGAAUUAAUACCUUCGUGGAGGUUUGCCAACAGGAUGUUUGCUUUGGUCCUGUGAUUUGGACUUCUAAUCACGGCAUUAAGAAGCCGAAAAGCACGAUCAUGAUGAUAUGGGGCUGGUAAGUAUAGCUAUUAGAUUCGAGCAUAUUCUUUGAACUUGAGGGAGUUUAUGAAUGAUAACUUCAAGGAAUUUAUGGCAAAAAGAAAAGUAAACGACUCAAAUCCUGGGAUUGCAUUUAUCACUUUAUCUUGUGUUUAUAUAAAACUAAUGCAAUGUCUCUCAAUGUUCAAGACUAUCAUGCUAGCAUUCACAAUGUAACAUCAAUGGAAGCAACUUAUAGACCAUCUGUUUGCAGGCCAUUUACAGGGACAAUUAGGACCAUCCAAACGGGUGGUGUGGUUUCUUAUACGGCCGCCGUCCAUGAUGUGGAAAUUCGGCGGUAUGAUAGGCGUCAGAAUACUAAGAGUUUCACGCGUAUGGUUGGAGUCAGAAUGGACUGCCUCCAAAACUUUUCGAAGGAACUUCAUGCAACGGGAUGCUAGGUGGGCCUACCGUGAUGCUCGUAAGAAAUCCACCCUAUCCAUCCGUUUGGCUAGAUCUUUGGGACAUGGCCCAAAAACGAGGCAUAUCCAAAACUCAAGUGGGCCUCACGAACAGAAAACAGUGAGGAUUGAACUUCUACCGUUGAAGCAUUCCUGUGGCCACUUCUUUCGGAUUAAGAUAAUAUUCUUGUGUUUUCAGUUCAUCCCAUAGGAAUGAGCUUAUCAACGGUAUGGAUUGCAUAUAAACAUCAUCAUAGACCCAUGGAAGUUUCAACGGUGGGCAUUUUCCUACAAACUUUUUCCUGUCGUGUGGACCACAUAGGUUUUUAGAUCUCCCUCAUUUUUCUGUCUGUCUUAAAUUUAUCUGGAAAAAUGGAUGGAUUCCUGCAAUAGGCUUCCGCGUCCGGGUCAAGAGUACAUGAGUUUCACGCGUACAGUUUGUGAGAGCAUGUUAUAACGUUUCGUACUUUUGAGUAUAUGGGCUACUCUUGUAUUUUAUUUGGUUUUUCUUUUAAAUCUUUUACCUCAAUACAUACAAGGGCACAGGAGUUACUGUACCUCCACAUUAAUUUC